GCAAGUCGAACGGCAGCACGGGUGCUUGCACCUGGUGGCGAGUGGCGAACUGGUGAGUAAUAUAUCGGAACGUACCUUAUCGUGGGGGAUAACGCAGCGAAAGCUGCGCUAAUACCGCAUACGCCCUGAGGGGGAAAGCGGGGGACCGUAAGGCCUCGCGCGAUUAGAGCGGCCGAUAUCUGAUUAGCUUGUUGGUGGGGUAAAAGCCCACCAAGGCGACGAUCAGUAGCUGGUCUGAGAGGACGAUCAGCCACACUGGGACUGAGACACGGCCCAGACUCCUACGGGAGGCAGCAGUGGGGAAUUUUGGACAAUGGGGGCAACCCUGAUCCAGCAAUGCCGCGUGAGUGAAGAAGGCCUUCGGGUUGUAAAGCUCUUUUGUCAGGGAAGAAACAGCAGCUCUAACACAGUCUGCGAAUGACGGUACCUGAAGAAUAAGCACCGGCUAACUACGUGCCAGCAGCCGCGGUAAUACGUAGGGUGCAAGCGUUAAUCGGAAUUACUGGGCGUAAAGCGUGCGCAGGCGGUUAUACAAGACAGGCGUGAAAUCCCCGGGCUUAACCUGGGAAUGGCGUCUGUGACUGUAUGACUAGAGUGUGUCAGAGGGGGGUAGAAUUCCACGUGUAGCAGUGAAAUGCGUAGAUAUGUGGAGGAAUACCAAUGGCGAAGGCAGCCCCCUGGGAUAACACUGACGCUCAUGCACGAAAGCGUGGGGAGCAAACAGGAUUAGAUACCCUGGUAGUCCACGCCCUAAACGAUGCCGACUAGUUGUUGGGAAUUUACAUUCUCAGUAACGUAGCUAACGCGUGAAGUCGGCCGCCUGGGGAGUACGGUCGCAAGAUUAAAACUCAAAGGAAUUGACGGGGACCCGCACAAGCGGUGGAUGAUGUGGAUUAAUUCGAUGCAACGCGAAAAACCUUACCUACCCUUGACAUGUCACUAACGAAGU
rnacentral:rRNA from 1 species